rnacentral:rRNA from 1 species
GUGAGGAAUAUUGCGCAAUGGAGGCAACUCUGACGCAGCCAUGCCGCGUGCAGGAAGAAGGCGCUACGCGUUGUAAACUGCUUUUAACCGGGAAGAAACCCCAGGACGUAUCCUGGGUUGACGGUACCGGAGGAAUAAGCACCGGCUAACUUCGUGCCAGCAGCCGCGGUAAUACGAAGGGUGCAAGCGUUAUCCGGAUUCAUUGGGUUUAAAGGGUGCGUAGGCGGAGCGUUAAGUCAGUGGUGAAAUCCUGCAGCUUAACUGUAGACUUGCCAUUGAUACUGGCGCUCUUGAGUGCGCUUGAAGUGGGCGGAAUGUGCCGUGUAGCGGUGAAAUGCUUAGAUAUGGCACAGAACACCAAUUGCGAAGGCAGCUCACUAAGGCGAUACUGACGCUGAGGCACGAAAGCGUGGGGAUCGAACAGGAUUAGAAACCCCAGUAGUCC